rnacentral:tRNA from 1 species
AAAAAUUUAGUUAAUUUAUAACAUUAGCUUGUCAAGCUUAAAUUACUUUAAAAAGUAAUUUUUA